rnacentral:rRNA from 1 species
UACGAAGGGGGCUAGCGUUGCUCGGAAUUACUGGGCGUAAAGGGCUCGUAGGCGUAUAGUUUAGUCAGAGGUGAAAGCCCAGGGCUCAACCCUGGAAUUGCCUUUGAUACUGGCUAUCUUGAGUUCGGGAGAGGUGAGUGGAACUCCGAGUGUAGAGGUGAAGUUCGUAGAUAUUCGGAAGAACACCAGUGGCGAAGGCGACUCACUGGCCCGAUACUGACGCUGAGGCGCGAAAGCGUGGGGAGCAAACAGG